rnacentral:lncRNA from 1 species
UUUAACAAAUUAUACCAGAUAUGGAGUAAGCACUACCAAUAUACACAUUGGCUAUAAUCAAGCUAUAUGUUUUUGUAAUUCCCUUUCAUAUUCUAUUAACAGAUACCAUUUACUUCGUUUAGUUGAUCAUUUCCCAACCAUGGUCUAUGUCAUUCCAUUUUCUUAAGGAAAUUUGCAUAUGAUAGUUCUUUUAGUUUUGCUGGUUCUGAUCAAAUCAUGCUUGUCAAUUUUUUUUUCCAUAUCAUGUACAGUGCCACGGAUGAGUUUUGUUGUUACGGCAUCAUGGACGGAGUCAAGAGAGCAGCAGUAGCAAUUCAGAGAAAGCAGUAGCGGCAUAGGUGAAGACGAAGCAACACCAGCAGCAAAGUUGAAGUAGCAACAGUAGCAGAAACAAAUUGCAGCAGCAGCGGAGACGGAGGGCAACAGCAGCCUAUUUGGGCAUGGAGAGAGAGUAAACAGCCACUGUGGUUAGAUUAGCAUGAAGAAGUAAGAAGAGAGAGUCGUGCACAAUUAGAUUGGGAUAACAUUUUAGGGGAGGGGGAGAGCUUUUGGAUUUUGUUUUGUAAUUUAUUUUUAAAUUUAGUUUUGUA